UUUGACGGAGAGUUUGAUCCUGGCUCAGGACGAACGCUGGCGGCGUGCUUAACACAUGCAAGUCGAACGAUGAUGCCCAGCUUGCUGGGCGGAUUAGUGGCGAACGGGUGA
rnacentral:rRNA from 1 species